AGUCUGCCUCCCUCUUUGUUCCUUCCAAGGCGACAGAGAUGGCGCGUGGUCAAGGAGGGGAGAGGGGAACGGAACGGAGUGGAAGAAAGCUUCCUGCCAUUCUUUUCCUUCCGUCUGUGUCUGCUGGUUCGUUCGUGCGUUUGCCUGCCAAAA
rnacentral:ribozyme from 1 species